rnacentral:rRNA from 1 species
GACGAACGCUGGCGGCGUGCUUAACACAUGCAAGUCGAACGGUGAAGGGGUCUGCUUUUGUGGGCCCUGGAUGAGUGGCGAACGGGUGAGUAACACGUGAGUAACCUGCCCCCUUCUUCUGGAUAACCGCAUGAAAGUGUGGCUAAUACGGGAUAUUCUGGGUCUGUCGCAUGAUGGGUCUGGGAAAGAUUGCGCCUUUGGGUGUUUUUGGUGGGGGAUGGGCUCGCGGCCUAUCAGCUUGUUGGUGGGGUGAUGGCCUACCAAGGCGGUGACGGGUAGCCGGCCUGAGAGGGUGGACGGUCACACUGGGACUGAGACACGGCCCAGACUCCUACGGGAGGCAGCAGUGGGGAAUAGUGCACAAUGGGCGCAAGCCUGAUGCAGCGACGCCGCGUGAGGGAUGGAGGCCUUCGGGUUGUAAACCUCUUUCGCCAGUGAAGCAGGCCUGCUCCUUGUGGGUGGGUUGACGGUAGCUGGAUAAGAAGCGCCGGCUAACUACGUG